UCUUGCCUACGGGAGGCAGCAGUGAGGAAUAUUGGUCAAUGGGCGGGAGCCUGAACCAGCCAAGCCGCGUGAGGGAAGAAGGUACAGCGUAUCGUAAACCUCUUUUGUCAGGGAACAAAGGCGGGGACUAGUCCCCGGAUGAGGGUACCUGAAGAAAAAGCAUCGGCUAACUCCGUGCCAGCAGCCGCGGUAAUACGGAGGAUGCGAGCGUUAUCCGGAUUUAUUGGGUUUAAAGGGUGCGUAGGCGGAUCGUUAAGUCAGUGGUCAAAUUGAGGGGCUCAACCCCUUCCCGCCAUUGAAACUUG
rnacentral:rRNA from 1 species